rnacentral:lncRNA from 1 species
AAAGAGCUGUUUUUUUGGGGCGCCGCCUGGAGCUCGUCGGCGUCGCAUUAACACCGGACGACCGAACGCGAAGGUGAAGCCCGCCGCGCGCUGGGAGGCGGGCCGGGACUCGCCCCGCCCCCCGCCGUCGGCGUUACGUCACUCGUCCCAGCGAGAGCGUCAGACAGGCGGGGAGCGCGGCGUCCGCUCCUUCCUUCGUCGGUCCUCCGCAGUCUUUUGUUACGCUGUGCAGAGUGUUUACAUGACUCUACCUUCCACGUGUGCUUUGAAGAGGGAUUCCUGUUUAAGGCCUCGUGCUUUUCCUCCCGAGCUGCCCGUCUCUGGAGAAGCUCGUAUCGGCCCGUCUGAAGAAGCUUCGGCGCGGCGCGCUGGCUGUUUGUGGGGCUGACGGCUUGAUGUACAUGGUGCUGCCUUGUUCUUCCUGCCGAAUAAGCUCCAGACCAAAGUGGUUUAACCAGAGAAUGGGGUAAUGCCUGGCCUUUAGACUGGAGUGACGUUAAAAGGAGGAGAAGGGGAAACACUGUGGCUGCCCAGGUAAUUUCACAUUUUAAUACUUAUCUGCCCACCAUGGAUUAUUUCAAAUAAAUGUUGUGAUGUGCAGCGGGGGACA